rnacentral:rRNA from 1 species
AACGAACGCUGGCGGCAUGCCUAACACAUGCAAGUCGAACGAGACCUUCGGGUCUAGUGGCGCACGGGUGCGUAACGCGUGGGAACCUGCCCUUAGGUUCGGAAUAACUCCCCGAAAGGGGUGCUAAUACCGGAUAAUGUCUUCGGACCAAAGAUUUAUCGCCUUUGGAUGGGCCCGCGUUGGAUUAGCUAGUUGGUAGGGUAAAAGCCUACCAAGGCGACGAUCCAUAGCUGGUCUGAGAGGAUGAUCAGCCACACUGGGACUGAGACACGGCCCAGACUCCUACGGGAGGCAGCAGUAGGGAAUAUUGGACAAUGGGCGAAAGCCUGAUACAGCAAUGCCGCGUGAGUGAUGAAGGCCUUAGGGUUGUAAAGCUCUUUUACCCGGGAUGAUAAUGACAGUACCGGGAGAAUAAGCUCCGGCUAACUCCGUG